UACGGAGGGUGCAAGCGUUAUCCGGAUUCACUGGGUUUAAAGGGUGCGUAGGUGGGCAGGUAAGUCAGUGGUGAAAUCUCCGGGCUUAACCCGGAAACUGCCCAUUGAUACUAUCAGUCUUGAAUACCGUGGAGGUAAGCGGAAUAUGUCAUGUAGCGGUGAAAUGCUUAGAUAUGACAUAGAACACCAAAUUGCGAAGGC
rnacentral:rRNA from 1 species